CCUACGGGUGGCAGCAGUGGGGAAUAUUGCACAAUGGGGGAAACCCUGAUGCAGCGACGCCGCGUGAGUGAGGAAGGAUCUCGGUAUGUAAAGCUCUAUCAGCAGGGAAGAAAAUGACGGUACCUGACUAAGAAUCCCCGGCUAACUACGUGCCAGCAGCCGCGGUAAUACGUAGGGGGCAAGCGUUAUCCGGAUUUACUGGGUGUAAAGGGAGCGUAGACGGCUAAUCAAGUCAGAAGUGAAAACCCAGGGCUCAACCUUGGGAGUGCUUUUGAAACUGAGUAGCUGGAGUGCAGGAGAGGUAAGCGGAAUGCCUAGUGUAGCGGUGAAAUGCGUAGAUAUUAGGAGGAACACCAGUGGCGAAGGCGGCUUACUGGACUGUAACUGACGUUGAGGCUCGAAAGCGUGGGGAGCAAACAGGAUUAGAUACCCGUGUAGUC
rnacentral:rRNA from 1 species